CUAACACAUGCAAGUCGAACGAGAUCUUCGGAUCUAGUGGCGCACGGGUGCGUAACGCGUGGGAAUCUGCCCUUGGGUUCGGAAUAACAGUUAGAAAUGACUGCUAAUACCGAAUGAAGUCUACGGACCAAAGAUUUAUCGCCCAGGGAUGAGCCCGCGUAGGAUUAGCUAGUUGGUGGGGUAAAGGCCUACCAAGGCGACGAUCCUUAGCUGGUCUGAGAGGAUGAUCAGCCACACUGGGACUGAGACACGGCCCAGACUCCUACGGGAGGCAGCAGUGGGGAAUAUUGGACAAUGGGGGCAACCCUGAUCCAGCAAUGCCGCGUGAGUGAUGAAGGCCUUCGG
rnacentral:rRNA from 1 species